rnacentral:rRNA from 1 species
CGCGUAGAUAACCUGUCUUCAUGACGAGGAUAACCGUUGGAAACGAUGGCUAAGACUGGAUAGGAACCGAGGAGGCAUCUUCUUGGUUUUAAAGGACCUGGCAACAGGUACGCUUGAGGAGGGGCCUGCGGCGCAUUAGUUAGUUGGCGGGGUGAAGGCCCACCAAGACGAUGAUGCGUAGCCGGACUGAGAGGUUGAACGGCCACAUUGGGACUGAGAGACGGCCCAAACUCCUACGGGAGGCAGCAGUAGGGAAUUUUCGGCAAUGGGGGCAACCCUGACCGAGCAACGCCGCGUGAACGACGAAGUACUUCGGUAUGUAAAGUUCUUUUAUCAGGGAAGAAUGGCUUACGGAAAAGUGAGCGUGACGGUACCUGAUGAAUAAGCCCCGGCUAACUAUGUGCCAGCAGCCGCGGUAAUACAUAGGGGGCAAGCGUUAUCCGGAAUUAUUGGGCGUAAAGGGUGCGUAGGUGGCCGUUUAAGUCUUUGGUGUAAGUGCAAGGCUCAACCUUGUGAUGCUAAAGAAACUGGAUGGCUUGAGUGUGGUAGAGGCAAGUGGAAUUCCAUGUGUAGCGGUAAAAUGCGUAAAUAUAUGGAGGAACACCGGUGGCGAAGGCGGCUUGCUGGGCCACAACUGACACUGAGGCACGAAAGCGUGGGGAGCAAACAGGAUUAGAUACCCUGGUAGUCCACGCCGUAAACGAUGAGUACUAAGUGUAGGGGAAACUCUGUGCUGUAGUUAACGCAAUAAGUACUCCGCCUGAGUAGUACGUACGCAAGUAUGAAACUCAAAGGAAUUGACGGGACCCCGCACAAGCGGUGGAUCAUGUUGUUUAAUUCGAUGAUACGCGAAGAACCUUACCAGGUCUUGACAUCCCCCGCGAUGCUUUAGAGAUAAAGCGA